rnacentral:rRNA from 1 species
CAUGGUAGAUAUAUCAAAGAUUUAUCGCUUAGAGAUGGACUCGCGUCCGAUUAGUUAGUUGGUGAGGUAACGGCUCACCAAGACUGCGAUCGGUAGCCGGACUGAGAGGUUGAACGGCCACAUUGGGACUGAGACACGGCCCAGACUCCUACGGGAGGCAGCAGUGGGGGAUAUUGCGCAAUGGGGGAAACCCUGACGCAGCAACGCCGCGUGAAGGAUGAAGGUCUUCGGAUUGUAAACUUCUUUUAUUAAGGACGAAGAAAGUGACGGUACUUAAUGAAUAAGCUCCGGCUAACUACGUGCCAGCAGCCGCGGUAAUACGUAGGGAGCAAGCGUUGUCCGGAUUUACUGGGUGUAAAGGGUGCGUAGGCGGCUUUGCAAGUCAGAUGUGAAAUCUAUGGGCUCAACCCAUAGCCUGCAUUUGAAACUGCAGAGCUUGAGUGAAGUAGAGGCAGGCGGAAUUCCCCGUGUAGCGGUGAAAUGCGUAGAGAUGGGGAGGAACACCAGUGGCGAAGGCGGCCUGCUGGGCUUUAACUGACGCUGAGGCACGAAAGCGUGGGUAGCAAACAGGAUUAGAUACCCUGGUAGUCCACGCUGUAAACGAUGAUAACGAGGUGUGGGGGGUCUGACCCCUUCCGUGCCGGAG